UGGCUGCUCAUAAAGAAGCCCGGAGAAGGGACCCAGGAUGCCAGUCUCAACAUCCUCCUUCCAUUCACCCUAGAACAUCCAAUGAAGAAGCCACAUAUGAAGAAGUGAGCAUGAUGGGACAGUAUGAGUCACUUGAAAUAGCAUAUAUCCAACCAAAAAUAUUUGCUCCAAUUGAAAAGCAGAGGACCUCCAUUAAGAAAGCUCCAG
rnacentral:lncRNA from 1 species